rnacentral:tRNA from 1 species
UGCCCAAUAGCCAAAGGGUAAGGCACAUGACUUUGACUCAUGUAUUACUGGUUCGAGUCCAGUUUGGGCAG